AUUGAACGCUGGCGGCAUGCCUUACACAUGCAAGUCGAACGGUAACAGGUCUUCGGAUGCUGACGAGUGGCGAACGGGUGAGUAAUACAUCGGAACGUGCCUAGUAGUGGGGGAUAACUACUCGAAAGAGCGGCUAAUACCGCAUGAGAUCUACGGAUGAAAGCAGGGGAUCGCAAGACCUUGUGCUACUUGACCGGCCGAUGGCAGAUUAGGUAGUUGGUGGGAUAAAAGCUUACCAAGCCGACGAUCUGUAGCUGGUCUGAGAGGACGAUCAGCCACACUGGGACUGAGACACGGCCCAGACUCCUACGGGAGGCAGCAGUGGGGAAUUUUGGACAAUGGGCGCAUGCCUGAUCCAGCAAUGCCGCGUGCAGGAUGAAGGCCUUCGGGUUGUAAACUGCUUUUGUACGGAACGAAAAGCCCCGGGUUAAUACCCUGGGGUCAUGACGGUACCGUAAGAAUAAGCACCGGCUAACUACGUGCCAGCCGCCGCGGUAA
rnacentral:rRNA from 1 species